rnacentral:rRNA from 1 species
AAUGAACGCUGGCGGCAGGCCUAACACAUGCAAGUCGAACGGAUCCUUCGGGAUUAGUGGCGGACGGGUGAGUAACGCGUGGGAACAUACCCAAAGGUACGGAAUAGCCUCGGGAAACUGGGAGUAAUACCGUAUGUGCUCGAAAGAGGAAAGAUUUAUCGCCUUUGGAUUGGCCCGCGUUGGAUUAGGUAGUUGGUGGGGUAAUGGCCUACCAAGCCGACGAUCCAUAGCUGGUUUGAGAGGAUGAUCAGCCACACUGGGACUGAGACACGGCCCAGACUCCUACGGGAGUCAGCAGUGGUGAAUCUUAGACAAUGGGGGAAACCCUGAUCUAGCCAUGCCACGUGAUCGAUGAAGGCCUUAGGGUUGUAAAGAUCUUUCAGGUGGGAAGAUAAUGACUGUACCACCAGAAGAAGCCCCGGCUAACUCCGUGCCAGCCGCCGCCGUAA